CCCAUAGCUCAGUUGGUCAGAGCAGUCGACUCAUAAUCGAUUGGUCGUAGGUUCAAGUCCUACUGGGCCC
rnacentral:tRNA from 1 species